rnacentral:rRNA from 1 species
UACGGGGGGGGCAAGCGUUGUUCGGAAUUACUGGGCGUAAAGGGCUCGUAGGCGGCCAACUAAGUCGGACGUGAAAUCCCUCGGCUUAACCGGGGAACUGCGUCUGAUACUGGAUGGCUUGAGAUUGGGAGAGGGAUGCGGAAUUCCAGGUGUAGCGGUGAAAUUCGUAGAUAUUCGCAAGAACACCAGUGGCGAAGGCGGCUCACUGGUCCGGUACUGACGCUGAGGUGCGAAAGCGUGGGGAGCAAACAGG